rnacentral:rRNA from 1 species
GGGGCAACCCNGACGCAGCCAUGCCGCGUGAAUGAAGAAGGCUUCGGGUUAAGUUCUUUCGGUGAUGAGGAAGGUUGGUGUGUUAAUAGCAUGCCAAAUU